rnacentral:lncRNA from 1 species
ACAGAACAGGCAGACAGACGGAUGGGUGUGUCCCUUCAACUGUAGUCCACUCAUUGGGGUCUUCUUUUCUGUUUCAUCACAUGAUAUGUCUUGUCAGCCACAAAGACGGAAUAAGACCCUUAGACCUGAUGGAGAGAAUAUUACCUGGCAGAGGAGUUUUUCAGAUAGAAGUAAAACUAAAAGGUAGGACUACAAGCAGGCCUUCCCCAUAGGAAUGUUUAACCACUCUAUGGCUUUGAGUUUCUCAUUCUUAUAUCAGUGUUGUUUACAGAGAGUAAUGUUGUGUUUGUGAUAAAAACACGGUCUGGAGCUGUUUUCAAGGUUUCUUGGGAAAGGCGACCUGAGCCCUGGGACCAUUCCUCAGGACUACCUGACCUAAUGACUCCUUGCUGUCCCCAGUCCACCUGGACGUGCUGCUGCUCCAGUUUCAUCUGUUCUGCCUGUGGCUAUGGAACCCUGACCUGUUAACUGGACGUACUACCUUGUCCCGGACCUGCUGUUUUCGACUCUCUCUCUCUACCGCACCUGCUGUCUCUAACUCAAUGCUCGGCUAUGAAAAUCCAACUGACAUUUACUCCUGAGGUGCUGACCUGUUGCACCCUCUACAACCACUGUGAUUAUUAUUAUUACUUGACACUGCUGAUCAUCUAUGAACGUUUGAAUAUCUUGGCCAUGUACUGUUAUAAUUUCAACCCGGCACAGCCAGAAGAGGACUGGACACCCCUCAGAGCCUGGUUCCUCUCUAGCUUUCUUCCUAGGUUCCUUCCUUUCUAGGUAGUUUUUCCUAGCUACCGUGAUUCUACAUCUGCAUUGCUUGCUGUUUGGGGUUUUAGGCUAGGUUUCUGUAUAGCACUUUGUGACAUUGGCUGAUGUAAAAUGGGCUUUAUAAAUACAUUUGAUUGAUUGAUUCUUACACUGUAAUGGAAAACUGUAAAUUAUACAGUAUUUUCUAUUAUUAUCAACAGUAAAAUACUCAAUCAGAUAAAAUAACAUUAUAUUGGUUGCAUAUACAUUUAGCAGAUGUUAUUGCGGUUGUAGCGAAAUACUCUGAAAUGUUUUACUGCAGCAAACUGUAAAUUAUGGUGCGUUGUGGGAAAAUGUUGGGGGCGGGGAAAGAAUUGGGAAAGAAUUGCUUUAAGAAUUGCUUUCAAAUGGUACUUUAACUCUACCCCACAGAACACAGUACCAUACCAUAUUUUUGGAGAGCCAACAACUUUUUGACCACUAGUUGGUGCAUGGUAUUGUUUCUGAAGCAUUAACAUAUUUUGAGGCGUGCCGUGUAAGGGGCUAUAUUUGUUGCACCCAUGAGUGAGAACGCUGUUUAGGGGACAUUUUGGAGUGACAGCAAGUCUUAAACCUUAAAUGGUUGAGCAUUUUUACCAUGUCCUUUUGGUCUGUUUUACUCUGUAGUCACUGCCAGUUUGGAAGCCUUUGUGAAGGCCCCUAGAAGUGCAAUUGAUAUAAAAUACCUAAUGUUCAUUAAUAUGCUGUAUUGUUUGUAAACAAUUUACCUAGCAGCCAACCUGCUUGCAC